UACGUAGGGGGCAAGCGUUGUCCGGAAUCAUUGGGCGUAAAGCGCGUGUAGGCGGCUCGGUAAGUCUGCUGUGAAAGUCCAGGGCUCAACCCUGGGAUGCCGGUGGAUACUGCCGAGCUCGAGUCCGGAAGAGGCGAGUGGAAUUCCUGGUGUAGCGGUGAAAUGCGCAGAUAUCAGGAGGAACCCCAGAGGCGAAGGCGGCGUCCUGGCUCGCAUCUGACGCUCAGACACGACAGCAUGGGGAGCGAACGGG
rnacentral:rRNA from 1 species